rnacentral:sRNA from 1 species
CGGUCAGUAUGGUUUUGCAUCGACUGUGCGAGAGUCAAGUGAAACAUGAGAAGCUCCGGCUUUUGGAUUUUUCUGCAAGGAGAAUCCUCCCUCUCCAUUGGAUAUCCAGAAAUACAUUUGUCGCAGAAAGUUAGCAUCUAGGACUAUUGAUCUGCGACUGCUGAUCACCAACUUGAAAGAUAAUAAAGGAUUUACGGACAGUACAAACGGAUUAGAAACAUGCAAAAACAUUAUUGAUGAAUUUAUCCCCAAGAAGAAUUCAAUUAAAUUAAAGCAUAGCCAAGACCAGCUGGCUAUCAAAGAGGACUUAGUAAAACAUCGAACCUCAGUGGCAGAGCUCCUGAGUGGAAAAUAUGAAGCCAGCAGUUACCCUUCGUCAACUCCACUGAUAUCCAUAGCAUAAGGUUGCACGGAACAGAGCCAUUCCAUGUGCCCUGCAAUUCCAGUGUUUCCGGAUCUGGCUAGACUGUCAUCCAGAGACCAGUCAACGGCAAUGAGAACUUCAAUCGCAAAACUUUAAUCGACUUCUAACUAGAGUGCGAAGACCUCCGGUAGAUCUUCUUCCUUGGACUGGAAAAAAUCCAUCUAAUGAACCUGUCCCAGCCUCACGUGCUGUACAUCCAACUCAAAGAUGUUCUCGAUUCCAUCAUUUCAAAUUAGAAAACGAAGAGAAAGGCUACAAACCUGAAAUCGGUGGGUAGUGCACAGGAAGUUUUCCACAGACCGGGAUAAUGGCACUCAUGAGACACGAAAGUUCUCUCAAUGGAACAUUAUUAAAGUGCAUCAUUUGACGGCAUUCGAUGGGAUUCUUGAUACUAGAAUGUCUACACGAUAUCUCUUACUUUGCUCAAAUAAUAAUUGGGGCCGAUAACGUAGAAAUUUGAUGCGAAUUUAAGGUCUGUUUAAUCUUAAUCUUCCGCAGGACUCCGAACCCUAGUUUUAGUUGGUCCACUGGCAAUUAAAGUUCUCAUUGCCGUUGACUCGUCUCUGGAUGACAGUCCAACCAGAUCCGGAAACACUGGAAUUACAAGGCACAAGGAAUGGGUCUGUUCCGUGCAAUAAGGUUGCUAUGGCUAUAAGUGGAUUUGCUAAAUGGGAGAUAACUGGGUGCCUCCCAAAUGUCCAUCAGCUUUUGUUUAAGGAAAUUCACUUGAUCCCCUAGUUGCCUGAUGUUCUCUCAAGUNUUCUNUUCUCUGAUGUUCUCUCAAGUUUUCUUAUAAAUCAAAAUGUGAAAUAUACGAUUACUACACUUUG